GACAGUUCUCAGGUGACGCACCCCAGAAUCGGGCUCCCUCCUCUCUGGUUCCAGGGUGCAUCACCUGAGAACCACC
rfam:Myotis brandtii contig190305, whole genome shotgun sequence.